AGAGUUUGAUCCUGGCUCAGGAUGAACGCUAGCGGCAGGCUUAACACAUGCAAGUCGAGGGGCAGCACGAGUAGCAAUAUUUGGUGGCGACCGGCGCACGGGUGAGUAACGCGUAUGUAACCUACCUCUAACUGAGGAAUAGCUUUCGGAAACGGAAAUUAAUACCUCAUAACAUUCCUUUAUCGCAUGGUUUUGGAAUUAAAGCUCCGGCGGUUAGAGAUGGGCAUGCGUGACAUUAGCUAGUUGGUGAGGUAACGGCUCACCAAGGCUACGAUGUCUAGGGGGUCUGAGAGGAUGAUCCCCCACACUGGUACUGAGACACGGACCAGACUCCUACGGGAGGCAGCAGUGAGGAAUAUUGGGCAAUGGGCGCAAGCCUGACCCGGCCAUGCCGCGUGCAGGAUGACUGCCCUAUGGGUUGUAAACUGCUUUUGUACAGGAAGAAUCCACUUGAUGUAUCAGGUAUUGACUGUACUGUAUGAAUAAGCACCGGCUAACUCCGUGCCAGCAGCCGCGGUAAUACGGAGGGUGCAAGCGUUAUCCGGAUUUAUUGGGUUUAAAGGGUGCGUAGGCGGGGAAGUAAGUCAGUGGUGAAAUCUCACAGCUUAACUGUGAAAUUGCCAUUGAUACUGUUUCCCUUGAGUUCAGUUGAGGUGGGCGGAAUGUGUAGUGUAGCGGUGAAAUGCUUAGAUAUUACACAGAACACCAAUUGCGAAGGCAGCUCACUAAACUGUUACUGACGCUGAGGCACGAAAGCGUGGGGAUCGAACAGGAUUAGAUACCCUGGUAGUCCACGCUGUAAACGAUGAUCACUCGCUGUUGGCAAUACAUCGUCAGCGGCCAAGCGAAAGCAUUAAGUGAUCCACCUGGGGAGUACGUUCGCAAGAAUGAAACUCAAAGGAAUUGACGGGGGCCCGCACAAGCGGAGGAACAUGUGGUUUAAUUCGAUGAUACGCGAGGAACCUUACCUGGGCUUAAAUGUAGAAUGACCUCCCGAGAAAUCGGGAUUCCCUUCGGGGCAUUUUACAAGGUGCUGCAUGGUUGUCGUCAGCUCGUGCCGUGAGGUGUCGGGUUAAGUCCCAUAACGAGCGCAACCCCUAUCGUUAGUUGCCAGCGAGUCAAGUCGGGGACUCUAACGAAACUGCCGGUGUAGACCGUGAGGAAGGUGGGGAUGACGUCAAAUCAGCACGGCCCUUAUGUCCAGGGCUACACACGUGUUACAAUGGUCGGUACAAAGGGCAGCUACCUGGUGACAGGAUGCUAAUCUCUAAAACCGAUCUCAGUUCGGAUUGAAGUCUGCAACUCGACUUCAUGAAGUUGGAUUCGCUAGUAAUCGCGCAUCAGCCAUGGCGCGGUGAAUACGUUCCCGGGCCUUGUACACACCGCCCGUCAAGCCAUGGAAGCUGGGGGUACCUGAAGUCUGUAACCGCAAGGAGCGGCCUAAGGUAAAACUAGUGACUGGGGCUAAGUCGUAACAAGGUA
rnacentral:rRNA from 1 species